UACAGGGGGCCCGAGCGUUAGUCGGAAUCACUGGGCUUAAAGGGUGCGUAGGCGGACUUGUAAGUGUCGUGUGAAAGCCCAUCGCUCAACGAUGGAACCGCACGGCAAACUGCAAGUCUCGAGGAAGGUAGAGGCGGGUAGAACGUUUGGUGGAGCGGUGGAAUGCGUAGAUAUCAAACGGAAUGCCAAAGGUGAAGACAGCCCGCUGGGCCUUUCCUGACGCUGAGGCACGAAAGCGUGGGGAGCAAACAGG
rnacentral:rRNA from 1 species